CCAGAGCACCCAUCCACUCCUCAAAGAGGUCGCUUGAAAGUAGCUUCCGGGGUAUACUUCUGAGGAAGUCCUGGGGGAUGAGAGUGGGCUGUUGGCCUAUUGGUACUGUAUGAUGUCCCAUGUCCUCGUUUUCACCUGGUUUUCGUUCCAUCGCAGGGUGCUCUAUGCUUGGCCCAUCAUAGAUUGUGGCCCUUCAUUCCUGCAUUUGAUGAAUCCAGGGAACCCUCUCUCCAACACCCUUGGCCUCUCUGCAACUUUCUAACAUCAGGCAGAGUCAGAGGCACCAUCCCCAGAAGCUACAAAUCUUCAGCAUUCUCCACUCUGUGAAGUCAGAGGAAUGGAGGGACCAUAGCUCUGAGCUCAUUGGCAAAUACAACUAAUUUCAAUUUCUGGAAUGGAAGCAGUCAGAUAUUCUUCUGACUGCACGCGUAUGUGGGAGUGCCAUGUUGAAGAGUGGAAAAUAUGGAAGAUCAGUUCCUACAAACUUAAUAGGAGAAUGACAUUCAGAUUUCCCAAAUAUUUUGCAUGUCCAACUGAAAACUGAAGUAGGUUUAUGAGAGAAUGCAUGCCUACCUGGAUGGGUCUGGGGAGUGUGUCACUGUCACCGCAGAUAAUUGACAAGGGCUGAUCAAAUAGCGAUGCUUUCAAGUCUGUCUCCAAAGCCCCAGAAAAAUCUGAUGCAGGGGAGAGCCUUCUCAUGAGAAAGGGCCAGGACAGCACCUUCUUUCUCUUCUUAACUUCUACAGCCAAGAAAACAAGGCAACGAGAAAAAUUAGACUACAGUGUUAAGAAGCAAAGAUCCAGGUAAGAAAAUGGGUAUCGUUGGCCGCAUAAUGUGGUCUAUAGUAUGCGAUGUGAGAAAAAUAAUUUUGAAAACUUGAGAAAGCAAAGGGCGUGAAUCUUAAUCUAGAAAAACCAACCGAUAAACAACCACACUGUUACCAGGGCAACCAGUUCCCUAAACAGCAACACCAGAGUUCCUCAAGGCCUCCACCUUUCCUGUUUUCACUCUUUCCAGCUGUUUGCUACAGAAAAUUAGCAAAACCUAACUGUGCUGAUCAUAAACAACCAUCUUAACCUACUGGCCUGAAUAACUAUAGAGGAAAUUUCUGAUAUGAAAUAGAUUAUUUUGAUUUCCUCCUUUAACUGGCGAAGAAAACGAAACUUAAAAGGUGAGGAAGUGACUUGCUCAAUAUGUUUUCGAAGGCACAUAGCAGGGCUGGCUCCAACCCUUUGCAGCCACGCAGGCACCAAACAGCCACUAGAGGGAGCUAACACCAUUUUUCCUUCCAGGUGACUGGUCACCUGGGUUUUCCAGGUUGCUGCUUUAGGACAGAGGCAAAUACGAAUCGCUGCGGGAAGCCUUGAACCUAGAUCUGGCAACUGGGAAUUAUCAGCAAAACGUUAUCAAGAUAUUCUGUCCUUCCGAAAUCCACAAGAUGUGUGUGCAAUGGAUAUUGCAAUCUCAAACAUUUCCUUCUUUCUUUUCUUUUCCUUCCUUCCUUCCUUCUCCUUUUUUU
rnacentral:lncRNA from 1 species